AUGACCCUCCAGGUGUGGUUCCACUGACCGCUCUAGGGCUUGUUCCUGAUGGCUCCCCAGGUGUGGUUCCACUGAUAGCUCCAGGUGUUCCUGAUGACCCUCCAGGUGUGGUUCCACUGACAGCUCCAGGUGUUCCUGAUGUCCCCCCAUGUGUGGUUCCACUGACAGCUCCAGGUGUUCCUGAUGACCCUCCAGGUGUGGUUCCAC